AACGCACAUUGCGCCCGCUAGCAUUCUAGCGGGCAUGCCUGUUCGAGCGUCAUCUCAACCCCUCAGGCACCCGCCGGGUGCCUGGUGUUGGAGCACUGCUGCCCCAGGUGGCAGGCUCCUAAAUACAGUGGCGGGCUCGUUGGGACCCCGAGCGCAGUAGUUUUAGUGCCUCGCUCAGGGCGGACCGGCGCGGCCCUGCCGUAAAACACCCACCUAUGACCACCAAAGGUUGACCUCGGAUCAGGCAGGAGUACCCGCUGAACUUAA
rnacentral:misc_RNA from 1 species